rnacentral:rRNA from 1 species
CCCGACUACAUGAAGCUGGAAUCGCUAGUAAUCGCGGAUCAGAAUGCCGCGGUGAAUACGUCCCCGGGUCUUGUACACACCGCCCGUCACACCAUGGGAGUCGGAAAUGCCCGAAGUCUGUGACCCAACCGCGAGGAGGGAGCAGCCGAAGGCAGGUCGGAUGACUGGGGUGAAGUCGUAACAAGGUAAC